rnacentral:lncRNA from 1 species
UGAAAGAGUCUUGUUUGGAGUUGUGUGGGGUUGAAUAAGUAUGAUUGUUAUAUUUUAGAAGUUGGUAGAAAAAGAAAAGAAAAAAAAAUGAAUGAAAAAAAGGAGGUAUACAUGUCAAUACAUACUCCUUAUGAAAAGAAAAAAAAAGAUAAAGGAGAAGAAAAAUAUGAAUGAAAAUAAUUAUUAUAAAGUUGUUGAAGCGAAUGAAAUAUUU